GGAUCACCUGGCACCUUGGGACAGGAACACAGUGGGCUGUACUGUGAGCACUGGGCUGUACUGGGAGGGCACUGAGGGGUCACUGGGCUGUACUGGGAGAGCCCUCAUCCCCAAAGCCCCUCCCCUGGGCAUCCGUGCCACGGUCUGGGAACCAUGGUGGGGUUGGAUCAAGGGGUGCACUUGAUGAUCUGGGAGGUCUUUUCCAAGCCGGCUGAUUCUGGGAUUCUCUGGGUGCCAUUGCCAGGGCAGCACAUGCUGGAGGCUCUGUCCACAGGGGAUAGAUGUGUCUGUGCAGACAGAGAGACAAGGUCAAUCUGCAAAGAUGUGGGCUUAGAAAAGCAGGAGAAGUUGUGGGGUGGUUGUGGCAGGAGAAAGAAGCCCCCAGGCCAGUGCAAGCAGGCCCCCCUGGGCUUGCACCUCAUCUACCCUCCCUGCAGGUUCCUGUCCUGGAGAGCAGGCCCUGAGGUGGCCCUGAGCAAUGGCCCAGAGGUGAGCCCAGAGGUGUCCCUGAGGUGGCCCUGAGAAGAAGUGGAAGGCAGAGGUGGUGCUGAGGCAGGAGAGCCCCGUGCUGGGGAAGAGGCUGAGCUGGGAGUGCCCAGCAGCGAGAAGGUGCUGUGUCCAUGCCCUGUGUGCCAGGCCCCGAGCUGAGGACGGAGAGCACGGAGGACAAAUCCCCCCGGCAGAGCCUGGUGGGAGAGGCCGUUUUGAAGGGCUCCCCGGUGCAGGAAGGCAGCGGGGAGGAAAAGGCCUGGAGAUGCCCCCGGAGGAGGGGCUGCAAAGCCAACCCAGGGAGCUCUGAGGAGGAAAGACCCGUCGUGUGCCGGGAAGGCGGCCGGAGCUUGAGCCGGAGCUCUGAGCUGUUGGUCCCUGAGCAGCCUCCCAGCAUUCAGGUGCUUGGAAUGUGGAAGAACUUCAGGAAGAGCUCCAAGCUCCUCACCCACCUGCACAUCCACACUGGGGAACGGCCCUACACGUGUGGGGAAUGUGGGAAGAGCUUCAGGCAGAGCUCCACCCUCCUCAGGCACCAGCUCAUCCACACUGGGGAACGGCCAUACGAGUGUGGGGAAUGUGGGAAGAGCUUUAGGCACAGCUCCAGCAUGAUCAAACACCAGCGUCGAAUCCACACUGGAGAAAGGCCCUACAAGUGCUUGGAAUGUGGGAAGAGCUUCAGGGACAGCUCCAACCUUCUCCAACACCAGCACAUCCACACUGGGGAACGGCCCCACACGUGUGGGGAAUGUGGGAAGAGCUUCAGGACCAGCUCCAACCUCUGCACCCACCAGCUCAUCCACACUGGUGAACGACCCUACAAGUGCUUGGAAUGUGGGAAGAGGUUUCAGACCAGCUCAACUCUCCUCGUGCAUGAGCGGACACACACAGAUGAGAGGCCCUUCCGCUGCACCGACUGCGGGAAGGGCUUCAACCGGAACGGCAACCUCAUCACCCACCGGCGCACCCACACCAGGGAGAGGCCCUACAAGUGUUGGGAGUGUGGGAAGAGCUUCACCCACAGCUCUACCUUGACCAAACACCAACGGACCCACCAGUAAGGGAAACGCCUACGAGUGCCCCGACUGCGGGAAGAGCUUUGACCGCUGCUCCCACCCUGAAUGACCCCCCCUGAUGGUGAGGCAACCCCUGGAGUCCAGUGACUGUCAGUCCAUCCCUUUCCGCCAGAAAGGGCCAGUGCCCUUUGCCAGGGGCAGGUUGUGCCAACAGAACCCUUCUUGGGGGUGUGUGAAGAUUCCUACCUUGGGUGGGACCCCCCAAGGUCACUACUAGAGAUUGAGAGCAGAGAUCUCCCCCCGAGCGUUGGUCUGGGGGAGUUCCAUCCAUCUCUGAUUCAUAAUUCUUGCUUCGGUGCCAGCUUGAGUAGAAUUGCUUCAACAAUUGCUUUAGUGUAGAGCAUUGUCCUAUCUUAUGCUGUACUAGUGGUAGUUUUAGUGUUUCUAUUGUGCAGUAAAUAAUUCUGAAUGAAGAUCUUUUGUCUGAUCAUUUGUAACCCUAAAUAAUUCAUUUCUAUCAAUAGAUCUGAUUUGCCAUGAUUAAAACCUGGGGGACAAAAGUGGUUCAGUCCCACCUCUGUAGUUCCUCUAAACUGAACCUGUUGGCAAAACCUAAGGCUGAGAUUGGAUCCAGCAGCCCCAGCACCCCACAGUCAGUUGGGAGCUCAGAGGGGCACCCCCCUUUCCUACCCCUUUGUGCCCAAAGACCCCCAUGGGACCAUUGGACCCACUGGACCGUCCAGACCAUUUCCCCUUUUCCACCCUUCUCCCGUUCCUCCCAUCUUUCCAUGGUCCCCUGCUACAAUCUGCUUAAAUAUUGCAGAAAGAACUAGAGAUUCAAAUAUUCCCUUGAGCAAAAUAAAAACUCACACAAGUUAUCUGUUGAUACCAAAACCUGAUUUUAUUAAUUGCUAAGAGGUGCAAAGAGAAUGAGGAAAAAAUAAGAAAAGGUUGGAAACUUCUAAGAUUAUUUCUAGAAGCAGAGAAAAAAUACCACUGAAAAGUACCUUUCCCAGCUGAGCCGGUGAGCGUGGUAGAAGAGAAGCAGUUUCUGCCUUUUUUUCUCUGUCCCUGCAGCUUUUGGAUGUUGUCUCUGUAGCUGCAGGGGGUCUGACAGCUUUAGUUCUCUGCAAUGCACCAUGUGUGGUUUCACCACUCAUGCCCCUGUCCCAGGCCGUGCAGGGUCUCAGCUCAGCCGAAGCUUUGGGCCCUCAGAAAUAUGGUCAGGGUAGAAGGAUAAGGUAGAACUCCCACAUGUGGCACGGUGGUCUCAGCUCUCUCCAGGCCGGCACAGUUCCAGUCUCUGGUGGCAGGCAGGUGGCGGAGAAAAGGUGAGGGGAGGUGGGCAGAGAUUCUCGGCUACAGUCACCAGUUCUUCUGCCUUUCUUCUCCCUGAUUUUCCAAAAUUUGCCCUCAACUUUUAUAGUGUUCAAAGGAGGUUGAACGUGGUUUCUUGGCACGUAGCCAGUUCCGAUGUUGGAGGAGAUAUGAUAACCAUAGACAAUGGCAGGAUCUUUUGGCAGGAAAGGUGCCAUGGGAAGUCCUGGUGAGAACUUCCUUCAGAGAGCUGACAGAGAAUGAUAAGUUUUUGAUAGGCAGAAACAAUUUUUGGCAUUUCUAUAUUAUCUGUGUGUUACGGAUGGUUGCCAUGGUAAGCGACGUAACAGGAAAUGCAUAAUGGUUGCCUUAUUAACCGGCCCUAGCAAUGCAAAUGCACAAUCUUUGCCAUGGUAGCCGAGUUAACAAUGAGAAUGCACAAUGGUUGCCAUGGUAACCAGCAAAACAGUGAGACUGCAUAACGGUUGCCAUGGUAACCGAGGUCACAAUGAGAAUUCACAAUGGUUGCCAUGGAAACUGUUGUAAUAAUGGGAAUUCACAAUGGUUACCACAGUAAGUGAUGUCAGAAUGAGAAUGCACAAUUUUUACCAUGGUAACCAUCACAAUGAGAAUGCACAAUGGUUUGCAUGGUAAGCAACAUCACAAUGGUAAUGCACAAUGGUUGCCAUGGUAACCGACUUAACAAUGAGACUGCACAAUGGUUGCCAUGGUAACCGAGGUGACAAUGAGAAUACACAAUGGUUGUCAUGGUAACCGAGCUCACAAUGAGAAUUCACAAUGUUUGGCAUGGUAACUGAUGUCACAAUGAGAAUGCACAAUGGUUGUCAUGGCAACUGGGGUUACAGUGGGAAUGCACAAUGGUUGCCAUGCUAUGCACAGUCACAAUGAGAAUGCACAAUGUUUGUCAUGGUAACAAAGUUCACAAUGAAAAUGCACAAUGAUUGCCAUGGUAACCGAGGUCAAAGUGGGAAUACAUAAUGGUUUCCAUGGCAACCGAGGUCACAAUGGGAAUGCACAAGGGUUGCCAUGGCAACUGAGGUCAAAAUGAGAAAGCAUAAUGGUUCCCAUGGUAACCAGAAGUCACAAUGAGAAUGUACAAUGGUAGCCAUGAUAACCAAGGUCACAAUGAGAAUGCACAAUGGUUGCUGUGGUAAGAUAGGUGAUGAUAGAAAUGCACAAUGGUUACCAUGGUAAUCAUUUAAAAAUGGGAAUGCAGAAUGAUGGCCAUGGUAACCGAGGUCACAAUGAGAAUGCAAAAUGGUUGCCAUGGCAUCUGUGGUCAUAAUGGGAAUGCACAAUGGUUGCCAUGGUAACGGAGGUCACAAUGAGAUUGCACAGUUGUUUCCAUUGGAAGUGACAUCACAAUGAGAAUGGACAAUGGUUGCCAUUGUAACCAACGUCACAAUGAGAAUGCUUAAUUGUUGCCAUGGUAACCACUGUAACAGUGAGACUGCAUAAUGGUUGCCAUGGUAACUGAGAUCACAAUGGGAAUGCACAAUGAUUGCCAUGGUAAGUGACAUCAUUAUGAGAAUGCACAAUGGUUGCCAUGGUAACUGAAGUCACAAUGAGAAUGCACAAUUGUUGCCAUGGUAAGCGAUAUCACAAUGAGAAUACACAACAGAUGCCAUAUUAACCGAUAUUACAGUGGGAGUGCACAGUGGUUGCCAUGGUUGCUGAGUGAUACUGAGAAUCCACAAUGGUUACCGUGGUAACCGAGGUCACAAUGAGAAUACACAAUGGUUGCCAUGGCAACCAAGGUCACAAUGAUACUGCACAAUGGUUGCCAUGGUAAGUGAUGUCACAAUGAGAAUGCACAGUGAUGUCUAUGGUAAGUGAUGUCACAAUGAGAAUGCACUAUGGUUGCCAUGGUAACCGAGGUCACAAUGGGAAUGCACAAUGGUUUCCAUGGCAAGUGACGUCACAAUGGGAAUGCACAAUGGUUUCCAUGGUAACCAAGUUAACAAUGUGAAUGCUCAGUGGUUGCCAUGGUGUAAGGGGGUGCUUUUGAUUUAGAUGAUCCAUGGAGCAAAAAGGGGUGAAAAAGUGAUUAUAUUCGCAUGUGAACACAGCCAGAGUAUUGUACAAUGUGACUUUAUUGCACAAGUUGUCUGUAAGGUCCAUUGUGCCAUUAGCAAAGUUAACUGGAUGUCCCCCAUUAUCAGAGCUGAGCUCCUCCUUGGCUUGGCUCCACUCUGCAAGAGAGAUACAAAUCCCCUUGAAACACAAUGGUACAGGUCGUCCAUAGGGCUGAGGAAGGUGAUGGAGAGGAAGAUGAUGUGGGCAGGGGUCGUUGGCCCCUUGCCCUACAGUGGGGCAUGCCCAGACUGUUGCCAUGAGGUGAUGAACGGGCGCUGUUUGGCUGCCACUCAAGCACCACCUUCUGCUGCAUCCUGGCCCUACGUAGUGUAAUGUAGAGCUGAUGGAAUGGGGUGUCGGCACUGCUGGGUGGAGCGAUGCUCAUCCUUCCAUCCACACUGUGCUGCUCCACGGGGACACCCGCCAAGCACGGGCACCGACCAGCCCUGCAGACCCUGGUAGGCCUGACCUGUCUGUGCAGGUGAGCACAGUUUAUU